GAUGAACGCUGGCGGCGUGCCUAAUACAUGCAAGUCGAGCGAAUGGAUUAAGAGCUUGCUCUUAUGAAGUUAGCGGCGGACGGGUGAGUAACACGUGGGUAACCUGCCCAUAAGACUGGGAUAACUCCGGGAAACCGGGGCUAAUACCGGAUAACAUUUUGAACCGCAUGGUUCGAAAUUGAAGGGCGGCUUCGGCUGUCACUUAUGGAUGGACCCGCGUCGCAUUAGCUAGUUGGUGAGGUAACGGCUCACCAAGGCAACGAGGCGUAGCCGCCCAGAGAGGGUGAUCGGCCACACUGGGACUGAGACACGGCCCAGACUCCUACGGGAGGCAGCAGUAGGGAAUCUUCCGCAAUGGACUAAAGUCUGACGGAGCAACGCCGCGUGAGUGAUGAAGGCUUUCGGGUCGUAAAACUCUGUUGUUAGGGAAGAACAAGUGCUAGUUGAAUAAGCUGACACCUUGACGGUACCUAACCAGAAAGCCACGGCUAACUACGUGCCAGCCGCCGCCGUAA
rnacentral:rRNA from 1 species